rnacentral:tRNA from 1 species
UGUAGCCCAGUGACAGAGCACUCACCUAGCAAGUGUGAGGACCUGAGUUCAAUCCUCAGCA